rnacentral:rRNA from 1 species
UACCAGCACCCCGAGUGGUCGGGACGAUUAUUGGGCCUAAAGCAUCCGUAGCCGGUUCUACAAGUCUUCCGUUAAAUCCACCUGCUUAACAGAUGGGCUGCGGAGGAUACUAUAGAGCUAGGAGGCGGGAGAGGCAAGCGGUACUUAGUGGGUAGGGGUAAAAUCCGUUGAUCCAUUGAAGACCACCAGUGGCGAAGGCGGCCUGUCAGAACGCACUCGACGGUGAGGGAUGAAAGCUGGGGGAGCAAACAGG